AAACAAUGAUUAUAGAAAUUACUCUCUCUCACACACACGCUGAAAUUUGUUGCUGCUGUUAAAUCAACGGAACUUGGUCGGCAUGUUAACAUUAAAAAAAAUCAAAAAAUGUCUGUUUGCAGAUGUUAGCCUUUCACAGUCGACGGAAGAGAUGUCUGAAGGGUUCUGUUAUUGUUUGCAAGUAUUCAAGAAAUUUCUUACUAAUGAAUCGAUGUAAUAGGAGGCAACCCGAAUCAGAUCUAUCCUUGUCAGAUAGAAACUUGUGAGGUCUCGUCUACACAUUUCGAACAUACAUAUAUACAUCGACCCAACGCUUGACUAGAGAAAUCAACCAACCAACCAAUAUGCUAACGUUUAUAUCGGACAUCUUGAAGAGAUUUGCGACUGUAUCACCAUACAAAAAUAUGUUCUAAUCUCCGUUGUGAUUUGUGACUGUAUUA